rnacentral:rRNA from 1 species
GGUGAACGCUGGCGGUAGGCCUAACACAUGCGAGUCGAACGGCAGCACAGUAAGAGCUUGCUCUUACGGGUGGCGAGUGGCGGACGGGUGAGGAAUACAUCGGAAUCUACUUUUUCGUGGGGGAUAACGUAGGGAAACUUACGCUAAUACCGCAUACGACCUACGGGUGAAAGCAGGGGAUCUUCGGACCUUGCGCGAUUGAAUGAGCCGAUGUCGGAUUAGCUAGUUGGCGGGGUAAAGGCCCACCAAGGCGACGAUCCGUAGCUGGUCUGAGAGGAUGAUCAGCCACACUGGAACUGAGACACGGUCCAGACUCCUACGGGAGGCAGCAGUGGGGAAUAUUGGGCAAUGGGCGCAAGCCUGAUCCAGCCAUACCGCGUGGGUGAAGAAGGCCUUCGGGUUGUAAAGCCCUUUUGUUGGGAAAGAAAAGCAGCAGGUUAAUACCCCGCUGUUCUGACGGUACCCAAAGAAUAAGCACCGGCUAACUUCGUG